UUUUUAGAAUUACGGAUGUUUCAUAGGAGUAGUAUUUUGGAAUUGCAGAGCACGCUGGAUUGGAAUUCUUAUUUGAACAUUUUUAUUCCUCAGGUAGUUGCUGUUGCUCUCCGAUGUCCAAGUGGGAGGGUCCUGAAAAGAAGGUUUUUUAAGUCUUGCAGUUCACAGGUGAGGAAAUUCAUAUUUCGAGAAAUGUUUUUGUUGAAUUUGACAAUAGUUUUCUCCCAUGCAACCACUCCCUUGUCUGGUGCUCCCUUCAGGUAAGGGUAAAGGGCAUUUACACAUACUCUGUGUUGUGGAAAUUUGGAUAAUUAAGCAUGCUGGAUCUUUUUUCAGUUUUUUUUUUUUUCCCAGUUCUUUUCCUAUUUUUUAUUUGUUGUUUUUUAAUUAAUUACAUUUUCACAGCUUGGUAGAUAAUGUGCUUUCAUAUCCUUCAGAAGCAGACAGUAUUAACUUUGUUCCCAUUAUCCCUGAUAGAUUAUUAACUUAAGCCCUAUUGCUUAGAUGUAAUUUUCAGAUCAUUCUUUAGGGCUUAUUUCCUUUUGUUCCAAUGGAUUUUUUUUUCUCUUAAAAACAAUGCUGUGUUCAUUAGCAAUAAUUUGGAAAACAUAGAAGAGUAGAGAGGAAAAAAGGCUUGAUCUAUAGUCUAAUGCCAAGGUCAGUUGCUAAUAUUUUGGUGUAUUUCUACUUUUAAGUGCAUUUAAACAUAUAAUUAUGCACUGUAUUGAAAUAUAUCUAGUUUUCUAUCCUGAUUGCAUUUAACCUUCUGCGAUGAGCAUGCUAUGAACCAUAAUGGAAAAUACUGAUGGAUUCAACUGCAUAGAAAUGUAACAUUCUAUAAAGAAAAAAUUGUAAAGUUAAAGAAAUAUUUGGAGAAAAUAUUUUACAUCUAUGUAUGAUAGAGUCAUUUCUUUCUUGUUUUUAAAAAUUUUUUAACAUUCAUUUUUGAGAGAGAGAGAGAGAGAGUGUGUGUGUGUGUAUGUAGGGGAGGGGCAGAGAGAGACGGAGACACAGAAUCUGAAGCAGGUUCCAGGCUCCACGCUGUCAGGACAGGGCCUGACGUGGGGCUCGAAUCCAUGAACCAUGAGAUCAUGACCCGAGCCAAAGUUGGACGCUCAACUGACUAAGCCACCCAGGUACCCCUAGAGUAAUUUCUUUAUCAAGAGCUAAUAUACAAAUCAAGUAAAAGGUAAACACCUCAGUAGGAUGGCAGUUGGAAAAAAAAAAACACUUAGGAUUUCCUAAAGAAAAAUAAAAGUGACAAAUAAAAAUAGGGAAAAAAUAUUUGGCCUUACUUAGAAUCAAAGAAGUGUAAAUUAAAAUGGGACAUAAUUUUCUGCCUAUCAGAUUGUCAAAGAUUAAAAAGAAGAGUAACGUAGGCACCUGGGUGUCUCAGUUGGUUAAGGGGGCAACUCUUGAUCUCACGCCUCUUGAGUUUGAGCCCCACAUCAGUCUCUGUGCUGACAGCAUGGAGCCCACUUUGGAUCCUGUCUCCUUCUCUCUGCCUCUCUCCCACUUGCACUUUCCCAAAAAGUAAAUAAAUGUUAAAAAAAGAAAAAGAGUAAGCCAGUUGUGGCUAGUGUGUGGAGAAAAUGGUGAUUCUCAUUAACUGUUCCUAUGACUAUAAAUUUAUAAAUUGGGACACUGUUCCUAUGAGAUAAUUUACCCGUGUAACCUUUAAAAUAGAUCUUUUGUUUCAUUAAUUUCAUUUAUGAGAAUUUAUUCUAUAGAAAUAAGAUAAAUGAUCAAAGGUAUAAUGUGGGAAUUGGUUGAAUUAAGGUCUAUCCAAAUAUUGGAAAAUUAGGAAGCUUUAUGACUUAGAUGUACAUUUGUUACAUGGCAUAUCAGUAGGUUCUUGGAUGGUGGUUAGCAGGAGAAGUCAGAGAUUAUCUGUAGUUGAUAGUCCAGCUUCCUUCGAGAACAUUGUAGUAUCUAGGUUUCUUCCUAAAGCAGCACACUGUCCUUUGGCAGACAUUUUUAGGCAAUAGUAAGUGGACAUUUUGAUGGUUACUAUGGAAAUCCUCAUAACAGGAAAUGUUUUCAAUUUAUAGGGGUGGCCCAUUGACAAUUGGACUAUCCUAAGGCAGAGUCCCUAGGGCUUGGAUAGGUCUAUGGUGACAAAGUUCCUGAGUGAUUUUGAUGUGGACUAUUGGCUUAGGUUUUGAUCUAAAUAAUUUUUUUCCCAAGUGCUAAACUUUUGUUCUCAACUUUUCUUUUUUUUUUUUAAUUUUUUUUUUUCAACGUUUAUUUAUUUUUGGGACAGAGAGAGACAGAGCAUGAACGGGGGAGGGGCAGAGAGAGAGGGAGACACAGAAUCGGAAACAGGCUCCAGGCUCUGAGCCAUCAGCCCAGAGCCUGACGCGGGGCUCGAACUCCCAGACCGCGAGAUCGUGACCUGGCUGAAGUCGGACGCUUAACCGACUGCGCCACCCAGGCGCCCCUGUUCUCAACUUUUCUAUGUUGAAUAACCACCCCAUUCCUUGUGGUUGGGACUUUCCUAGUUGUUAAAUGCCUCUGCUCUCUAUAGAUGCCUAUAGUCCCUAGGCCUUCUCUGAAACUUCCAAAAGGUACUAAGGGUUAUUUGCAUCUCACAAUUCAUGGUAUGCUAUUUUCCUUUAAAUUCUAGAAGGUUUUGUUUUAUUACUCCUCAGGGCAUGAUUUAACAAUGAAGGAAUUGUAAAAUAUCAUGGUAAUCUAGAGGGAUACAACCGUGCACAGUAUUUGAUAACUAAACUUUUUGUCUUUUAGGUCUUAUUUCACUGGAUGAUGAAAAUCGGGUACCACAUAUCUCUAUACAGCCUUUCUACUUCCUUUCCCAGAAGGCCUCUGGAAGUAGAGGAAGGCUGGUCCCUGCAGGACAUUGGAAUAACUAUGGAUACUGUACUCAAUGUGGAAGAAAAAGACCAGAGCAACUAAUUAAGAAAUGAGAAUGACCUGUUUUACAUAAAAUCAGUUAUGCCAUGAUCUUACAGGACAUAAAGGUUUCACGUUAAAAUCAUGCCAUACCUUGAUUGAGCUCAAGGCAAUAAACACUUUAAUGUUGAUAUCCUCGGGAAUGUAUGGACACGAAGGAUUAGAAAAGGAUUG
rnacentral:lncRNA from 1 species